rnacentral:rRNA from 1 species
CGGGAGAGAACGAAGAGAAGGGAGCUACUGCAGUCGAGCGACCACUUCGGUGGGAAGCGGCGAACGGGUGAGUACACGUAGGUGAUCUGCCUUUCAGACGGGGACAACAAUUGGAAACGAUCGCCAAUACCCUAUAGGACGAAAGUUUAAAGAUGCUCCUGGCAUCACUGAUGGAUGAGCCUGCGGCGCAUUAGCUAGUUGGUGGGGUAAAGGCCUACCAAGGCGACGAUGCGUAGCCGACCUGAGAGGGUGAACGGCCACACUGGGACUGAGACACGGCCCAGACUCCUACGGGAGGCAGCAGUAGGGAAUCUUCGGCAAUGGGCGAAAGCCUGACCGAGCAACGCCGCGUGAAUGAAGAAGGCCUUCGGGUUGUAAAAUUCUGUUAUAAGGGAAGAAAGGUGAUAGGAGGAAAUGACUAUCAAUUGACGGUACCUUAUGAGAAAGCCACGGCUAACUACGUGCCAGCAGCCGCGGUAAUACGUAGGUGGCAAGCGUUAUCCGGAAUUAUUGGGCGUAAAGAGCGCGCAGGUGGUUAAUUAAGUCCGAUGUGAAAGCCCACGACUUAACCGUGGAGGGUCAUUGGAAACUGGUUGACUUGAGUGCAGAAGAAGGAAGUGGAAUUCCAUGUGUAGCGGUGAAAUGCGUAGAGAUAUGGAGGAACACCAGUGGCGAAGGCGGCUUCCUGGUCUGCAACUGACACUGAGGCGCGAAAGCGUGGGGAGCAAACAGGAUUAUAUACCCUGGUAG